rnacentral:rRNA from 1 species
CUACGGGGCGCACCAGUUAGGUAUAAUCUACAAUGCGCGAAAGCGUGAUAGUUUGAGCCAGAGUGUGUUUCUAUUGAAAUGCUUUUGGAAAAUGUAAAAAGUUUUCCGAAUAAGGACUGGGUAAGACUAGUGCCAGGCCGCCGCGGUAAUACUAGCGGUCCAAGUCGCAGCCAUUUUUAUUGGGUCUAAAACAUCCGUAGCUUGUUUAGUAAGUCUCUUGUGAAAUUUUAUAUCUUAAGUAUGAACCGUGCAAGGGGUACUGCUAAGCUAGAGACUGGGAGACGUAAGAAGUACGUUUGAAGUAGCGGUAAAAUGUGUUAAUCUCAGACGGACUAACAAUAGCGAAGGCAUCUUACGAGAACAGUUCUGACAGUAAGGGAUGAAGGCUAGGGUCGCGAAAGGGAUUAGAUACCCCCGUAGUC